rnacentral:tRNA from 1 species
GGAGACGUGCCGGAGCGGCCGAACGGGCUCGCUUGGAAAGCGAGUAAGCCUUUAACAAGGCUUCUUGGGUUCGAAUCCCAACGUCUCCGCCA